UGUGAGUCGGGGCGUCGUAGCGCAGCUGCAGCAGCACCCGGGCGCGUCCGGGGCUGUGGGAGCCGAAAGUUGGGGUCUUGCUCUGUCGCUCAGGCUGGAGUGCAGUGGCAUGAUCAUGGGUCACUGCAGCCUUGAACUCCUGGGCUUAAGGGAUCUUCUCAUCUCAGUCUCCUAAAUAGCUGGGACUACAGGCUCAGGCCACCAUGCCUGCAUGAGGCCCUCACCAGAUACAGCCACCUGAUCUUGGACUUCACAGCCUCCAGAAAUAGAUGCCUUCUGCCAUGAUUAUAAGUUUCCUGAGGCCUCCCCAGCCAUGCAGAACUUCCAGUGAUUCAAGUUUGACACACCACACCACGGUGGAUGUGCCUUGUCAUGACACAUCUCAGCAGCACUAGAAGAUACAUCCAAAGUCCUGUGAGCAAGGUCUGUGGUAUCUGUUUAUUAUGGCAGCCCAGUAAGACUAAGACAGGCCAUCACAAGACGUGAACGUUUUGGACCUUCUCUUGGGCCCUAGUAAACAGAAAUCAGAAGGAAGAAAACUUUGCUAAUGCUCUGCCAAGCCUCACUUUUCUCUCAUGAUUAGAAGGUUUGAUGUUAUCCAGAAUUACUCAUGGAAGAUGGAAGAGCUGCAGCAUUACAAUGAAAGCCAUCUUACAACAGCCUGAGUAUCUUUUUUUUACCUGAGUCAGGAGCAAAAAAUAUUCAUGUAUAUUCCCUAAAAGGACAAAAAAGGAUCCAAUGAAAGGGCUAGGUUGUAGAAAGGUAGCAUUUUAUUGCUAAAUGACAACUAAAAUCACUCUGUAUGCCUUGUAUUGUAAAAGAGAAAAUUAAGACCCAGAAUAAGAUCAAGAGUUUUUCAUUGAUCGUUAUGAUAUUAAAGAAGUUUUGAAAUACGUGGCUAGCUUUCUCACAUCUAUGUGCUGAUUAGACCUCAGCCAAAGACUUCAGGGGAGCCCUCUGCAAGUUUCUAGAGUUCUUUGUGCAACUUUUUCUCUUGGGUUCUCUGACUUGCAAACUCAAACCGCCAGGCUUUUCUUAGACUCAGCUCUGCCUCCUCAUCUCAGAGAGACCCUACAAUGGGGCCUGGGAACCCUCCAGGCUCUGAGCUGGACAAUGGAGCUCACCUCCAUUUUGUUUGUUUCCUCUCUCUUGGCAAUCACUCUUCUGUGCUACUGAUGCCCAGUGUCUGAAAUUCAUUUUUUUCAUACCUUUUGUUUGUUUGCUUGGUGUCAUUUCCUGCAGGAGGGUAAAUCUGGCUGGCUCCUGUUGUUCCAUCUGUCCUCCAGCAGCUUCCCAUACAGGCAGCUCACUUCACUUCAUUUUCAAUUUUAA
rnacentral:lncRNA from 1 species